UUAAACUGAAGAGUUUGAUCAUGGCUCAGAUUGAACGCUGGCGGCAGGCUUAACACAUGCAAGUCGAGCGGGGAAGGGUAGCUUGCUACCUAACCUAGCGGCGGACGGGUG
rnacentral:rRNA from 1 species